rnacentral:rRNA from 1 species
AGAGUUUGAUCAUGGCUCAGGAUGAACGCUAGCGGCAGGCUUAACACAUGCAAGUCGAGGGGCAGCGCGGAGGUAGCAAUACAUCUGGCGGCGACCGGCGGAAGGGUGCGUAACGCGUGAGCAACAUGCCCGUGGCAGGGGGAUAAGCGAUGGAAACGUCGUCUAAGACCCCGUAACAACAGAGUUCGCAUGGACUUUGUUUGAAAGCUUCGGCGGCCACGGAUUGGCUCGCGUCCCAUUAGGCAGUUGGCGGGGUGACGGCCCACCAAACCGACGAUGGGUAGGGGUUCUGAGAGGAAGGUCCCCCACAAUGGAACUGAGACACGGUCCAUACUCCUACGGGAGGCAGCAGUGAGGAAUAUUGGUCAAUGGGCGGAAGCCUGAACCAGCCAUGCCGCGUGCAGGAAUAAGGCCCUACGGGUCGUAAACUGCUUUUGUACGGGAGCAAUAAGGGUCACGCGUGGCCUGAUGAGAGUACCGUACGAAUAAGCAUCGGCUAACUCCGUGCCAGCAGCCGCGGUAAUACGGAGGAUGCGAGCGUUAUCCGGAUUCAUUGGGUUUAAAGGGUGCGUAGGCGGCGUGCCAAGUCAGGGGUGAAAGGUUCCGGCUCAACUGGGACAGUGCCUUUGAUACUGGUGUGCUGGAGUGCGCUUGCCGUGGGAGGAAUGAGUGGUGUAGCGGUGAAAUGCUUAGAUAUCACUCAGAACACCGAUUGCGAAGGCAUCUCACGAAGGCGUAACUGACGCUGAGGCACGAAAGCGUGGGGAUCAAACAGGAUUAGAUACCCUGGUAGUCCACGCCGUAAACGAUGAUGACUAACCGCCGGUCCGCUAGGGUCGGUGGCCAAGCGAAAGCGAUAAGUCAUCCACCUGGGGAGUACGACCGCAAGGUUGAAACUCAAAGGAAUUGACGGGGGCCCGCACAAGCGGAGGAACAUGUGGUUUAAUUCGAUGAUACGCGAGGAACCUUACCCGGGCUCGAACGGCAAGUGAAGAGAUCCAGAGAUGGUGACGCCCUUCGGGGCACUUGUCGAGGUGCUGCAUGGUUGUCGUCAGCUCGUGCCGUGAGGUGUCGGCUCAAGUGCCAUAACGAGCGCAACCCCUGCCUCCAGUUACCAGCACGUAAUGGUGGGGACUCUGGAGGGACUGCCACCGCAAGGUGAGAGGAAGGGGAGGAUGACGUCAAAUCAGCACGGCCCUUACGUCCGGGGCGACACACGUGUUACAAUGGCGGCCACAGAGGGAUGCUACCCUGCGAGGGGAUGCGGAUCUCGAAAAGCCGUCUCAGUUCGGAUCGGAGUCUGCAACUCGACUCCGUGAAGCUGGAUUCGCUAGUAAUCGCGCAUCAGCCAUGGCGCGGUGAAUACGUUCCCGGGCCUUGUACACACCGCCCGUCAAGCCAUGGAAGCCGGGGGCGCCUGAAGUUCGUGACCGCGAGGAGCGACCUAGGGCGAAACUGGUAACUGGGGCUAAGUCGUAACAAGGUAGCCGUACCGGAAGGUGUGGCUGGAACACCUCCUU